GGUAGCUGGGCCCUUGAACUCUGGGGCUUGUGCGGUGGGGAUCUCGCGUCCCCCUGUGCCCUCUCUCUGCUCUGCCCUUGGGCCCCCAGCCCUCCUCUCACCUGCGGGAAUUAAUCAGCUAUGAAGUCUUCAGUGAAAUGAAAUGUUAAAAACAUACUUCGGUUGUAGAGGAGGCGGGGUUUGUAAGAAAUCACACUGUACCGUUGGUUACAACUUAAAAUCCAAACCAGAUGACCUUUAACGUCACCUUUUUUUAAGAAAUGAAGCAGGUGACAAGUCAUCUGACCGAUCCGACGCAGGACCGGAGGGCUGGAGGGAGACGAGGGCCGAGGAAGGGGCGUCGGGGCGGGGCCUGGGCACUCCCCGCCCUCCUGCCUCCCCAGCCAGGCCAGGCCUGUGUGGGCUCCUGCCCUAGAACCCCGUCCCCGCUUGUGUGUCCCUGCAGACCGGUGUGGCAGAGUCCCCGACACCUCUACCCCGCUGCUCGGCCCGGAGUGGUGGUGUCCUUUCAGCGGUGUGACCCCUGAAGCCGGCGCCCCUCCGGGGGGGAUAGGCCUGUGGUGGCCCCAGAGUUCCGCCUGAAGCUAAUGGGCCGGUGCCAUUAGGGUGAUCAUCCCCCGUGUUGGUCCCAACCGAUUGGCUGUUUGUUCAGACUGGUUGGUAGACACGGAUUGUAUUCAGAAGACUUGGCACCAGUUUCCAGGCCUUCAUAUAUAGAAACUGCCCAACAGCUUCUGGCGAUGCUGGUGUUCAGGGCAAAUAAGUGGCGAGGUCUGGGUGCUGGGCCCCAGACUCAGGAGUCUGCCUGCUGUGUGUCCGGGGAGACAGCCGUUCAACCCCACCGCCCUGGCGGGACGAGCCCCGACACUCUCCCGCUGGACCUGCCAGGACCCUGAGCCUGCUGGGAGGCGCGACCCGCUGGGCACUGGGGAGGGGGACUGGUCGCCUCAGGUGGCCAGGGCCCCCGGGGAGCAGCCAGCUGCCUGAAUGUGUGGCCUGUGCUCUAACAGUGUUUCAAGGCUGCUUGGGGCUUGUUGCCUUGGUUUAAUGGCUCAUCAAGUAACUUCGUCAACAAGGUAACCUACUGGACGAUGGCCUGGUGUGGAUAUGAGUCGUUUUCAGCAGCCUGACUUCCUGGAGUUGAGGCCUGUUGGGAUUCUAUUUCCGCUGCAAGGACUCUGGCUCGUUUUUUCAUCCCCUCCACAUGGUUGGCCACUGGGUACAGGGUCAGGGUGCCCAGACCCCACUGCUGUCCCCCACAGCCACGAGCAGGGGCUGGCCAGUGCGGGAUGUGAAAUCUGGAAGGGCACCCUGUGUGGGGGGGAGUCUUCCCUUGUCCCCCAGCGCUCUCAGCACUCCUCGGGGUGCUGCUCCCCCCACCCCCACUCAGCCAUGCUCUCUGAGGGUGCCCCACCCUUACUGGGUAAGGGGGUGAGGGGCAGAGGGCACAAGGAGGACAAGGGAUAGAAGUGGGCUGGGCUCUGUUCUAUAGAGUCGGAAAAUCACAUCACGUGAAGGAGUUGGUCCCGCAGGGAAAAUCAAGACCCCGCUCAGCACCUCACCCACAGAGCACACGGUGGACGUUUCCUGAGGAAUAACUAAUGGAUGGAAGCCAUUGUUGUGCGAAUCGGCGUCGUUCUGAAAUGCACCGGGUUGUCAGGAACCGUGGAAGAGGAAGGAUCCUCGUAACUCAACAUUUUCGAAUGUCAGGCACUCUACAAACGGCAUCUCAUGAAGGCCUAGCGUACACGACUGACCCGAGCCUGGACUCAUUCGCUGGACUGGCCGCGGGAAGCACUGAGGUUCCCAUCAGGGGCCGCAUUCACUUAGCAGCUGAGCCCACAUCUGGAGUGGAUUGGAUGCAAGCAUUCGAGCAUCACAUGGAGUGUUUGUCUUGGCCUGGGUGCCCGUCCCCUUAGCCCAGACUGGGCUGGGGCCUUUGCAGUGCCGGCUUUGGUUCCCAGGAGGCUGGGGCAGGGAGUGGGGGAGGGAGCCAGGCCCAGGGUGCUCUGUUGAUGGGAUCCCCAUUACGGGCAGCUGGAACUGGAACCCUGAACCUUCCCAGACCGCUGGAGAAUUAUUCACCAGAGCGCAAAGGAGAGGAGCCUUCACCCUGCUCCUGUCACCUGGGGUCACCCUUGGGGCAUUCACUCCCCUGCACUUGUGGAUGGCAGUGCAGUGUCCCACAGGCGUCCCCAGGGGCACGGCCGGGCGAGGCCUGCCCCGAACGGCAGGCCGUGGGCCUGGCCGGAGCCAGAUCAGGACCCAGAGCUUGAGAAGGGCGGGGCAGGAGGCAAGGGGAGGCUGAUUCGAGACUGGGAAAGCAGGAGAAACUUCAAACAGGGCCUCCAACUGCCGCCGUCAGCGAGCACGUGUGGAUGAUUCUGGAGUGACUUCAACCAUCUGCUCUCCAGGCUCCGGAUAACUGCAGGCGGGUGGCAGGUGCCUGUGGGAGGUGUGGGCGCAGAGCGGGUGUCGUGUGUGACUCAGGCCAUGUCCGGCGGGGUCCAGGGAAGGCCAGUUACACACCCUCUUCCUGAGUUUUAAGAGGAAAGUGUCACCUGCACGAGGAACGACUUGGUUAAAUUCACAGAACCUGGAGAGCAGGAAAGCCAGAGGCUUCGGGCUGACUUCAGCCCUUCGACUGAGGCCGCACAGAAGUGGCUGACGUCACUGAGGAAGGCCUGGCCCGGGCGUCAGCCAGGAGUCUGCCCCGGCUCCUGUCCCCGGCAGCCCAUGCAGGUGAGGGCCGCAGGGAUCGGACACCCUUCGCCUCCUUUGCAGCCUGAACACCGCACAGGGCGCUCUUUUACCCACGCCCUCCCGUCUCACGUGACAGGCCGUAUCACGCUGGGGCCCGGCAUGUGCUGGGAUGCCAGCGGUUUGGGGGCCACACUGGGCCUGUUUCUGGGCUGGGCUGCCUCCUGGCCGGGUGGCCCUGGGCCCCGGGCACAGCGUCAGCAACUGUGCCCGUGUGAGCCUCCAUUUCUCACUGCCUCGUUCUAGUACACUCGGUGGAGGUACUGCCCAGGCUGUGGCCUCAGGCUCUGAGGGUCCAACAGAGCGAUGCCUGCCCUGCGCGCCUGCGCCUCCUGGGUGUUUCCUCCCCCGACCCACACCAGGGUCCAGCCCCGGGAGACUCUGCAGCUGCAGACCCUCCCCCCACCUGCUCACUCAUAUUUGCAGACUUUGCCACCUGCACAAGCCCCACCUGCAGGGCCGCCUGCUGAGUGCCCUGCCCUAACCCUCGGGCCUGUGGGCAUGGGGCACACCUUCCUCUGCAUCUCCUGCUUCCUGCCCGUCCUCCACACGGCCCCUUCCCACCCUGAAGCGAGUUCCUAUUUGUCCUUCAAAGCUGAGUGUGGUGUCCCCUGUCUGUGCCCUUCUCCAGCACCCUGUGGCCCCUGAAGAGGUGGCACCACCUUGACACACCACAGAGCCCUCCUUGCGUUUCUGGGGACUGUGGGCUCCUGGGGAGGGGGCCUUCUCUGGCCUCAGACCCACAGUGAGUCUUGUGCCAGCAGCUGGCAGAUGCUCUCAAAUAUUGAAGGACCAAAUGUUCCAUAAUGAGGACUGAGCCUUGAUCUAUAAUUUCUUUGCGCUUUGUGGGUGAGAGUCUGUUCCAUCACACAAAAACUAUUAAAAGAUACUUUUCAAAAAAGUAAAA